GGCAAAGCAAAAUGGAAAUUUCAGCAUCUGAUCAGGUUCUGGCAAGUAUCUCAGGGAGUUGUGUGGCAAACCAAGGAGGAGACUGCAGAGGUGCAUUUCUACCCCAUCACUGUCAUGCUUGGAGAAGUGAGGAGGGUUAAAAUGAAGGUGACAGAAGAAACUACUGCUCAAGGACUUGGAAACAGAGUGUUGUAUGAUAUUGUGCUUCUGGGUCCUGCUACAACAAGUGAAGUUAGGAAUUCCCUUCUCAGAGUGAAGCCUUCAUUGCUGAUGGCUGUAUCGACAUGGAGAUGAUGGCUGAAGGACAAGAAUUUGGAGAAGCAGCAUCAGCAAUUGGCCCUUCCCAACAUCCAAGAUUCAGCUGGCCUGGAAGAAGAAGACAACAGUAAUAAUUAGUAACUUCAGUAACUUUGGGCAUAACAGUAGGUGAUAAAUGUUAAGAGGUCAAUUACCAAGGCAGCUAAUUUAACAGGUUGCUGUGCUGCUUCCCCUUUCUGGGAUCUUCACUGAGCUCUUACUGAUUUUCAGGAAAUAGGGCCUGGCUUUCCCAAGAUUUUUAAAAAUAACUGUUGUUAUUUAAUCAAGUCUUUAAACCCUUGUACCAGUUCUAAUACAAGGUAUCAUUGCUUCACUUAUGAUUUACCAGGAAGGCUGACUACCUGGGAUAUAGUUGACAGCAAUGAUUCAUCCCUUUAAGUGCCUGGUCCUAAGUGGGACAUAGCUGUAGCAAAAUAAUAUAUUCUUAUUUCCUUUCCUGCUGUCUCUGUCACCAUCAAAAUAUUCUUUCUCACAGCAAUUCAUAAGGAGCUUUCACCUGAUAUGAAUUUUAUACCUGAUAUUAUUUGUGUUGCUCUGUAUGUCCCAGUCCUUUUGUACAUUUUGUCAAUAUAGCUGAAAGUGCUUCAAGCCUGGAUGUCACAAUGUAUUUGUAGAACAACAUAACCUGUGCUGGUCAGGACUGCAGGGUGCUACUGCUGUAGUUAAUUGACUAGCUUGACUCUUUAGUAGUAAAUUGGGUUUUGUACUAAGUCAUUCGCAGGACUGACACAUCUGAAGGAGUGGAAAAUUCCUUUGAUCUAGCCAUUGCAAUCAAAAUAGAGCAGAAGAUAAAUUAAAAAAUCUGUUACAUAGUUUAAAAUUAUAAAUCAUAAUUGUGAAUGCUGACUUUUAAAAUGCAAAGAUGGUAAGGGGUACUCGUGCUUCCUAAAGUUUCAGGAAAUGGUUCUUCAGCUCUGCUUCAAGUAUUACUUACCCUUUACAACUAGUAUCUGGUAAAGGAGCUUUGAAAAGUGUUUGCAUCCUCAGUAACUUAUCAGAAAACACGUGUAAAAAUACUCAGAGACAAUGCACACAACUGUUCCUUAUGGACCUACGAUGACAAUAUGUAUCAAACACUCAGCACAUAUCUAGGCAGCAGCUAAAGUUCAGCUACUCAACUUUAACCCCCAAGAGCAGGUCAACAGGAAAAAGGAAUGCAUGUUAAAGCUCACACCGAUGUUAAGUGAGAUUCCUUCAAUGGGGCUUGAACUCCUACUCGAGAUAUCAGCAGCAGGGCUGAGUGCCUUGGAAUGCAAAUCGAGCUUGUUACUCAGCAUCACAGGAGUCAUAAAAGUUCUACAUCAAAGAUGCAGAUACAGGCUGAAUUUUAUCCAAGGGAGAUUUCACCACCUACCCAACGGCCAGCUUCCAGUCUGAGACAGUGGCAGGGAAUACUUUGAACUAGUAGUGCUGGUUAGACUCCCUCUGACUUCACAAAUACUUUAUCAUUGUUUGCUCCACUAAAUUAACAACAGAAGUGCAAGGUCUUGGAACACAGACCUCAUGAAAUGCUCUCAAAGAUGAAAAUCCUUGCACCUUACAACCUGCAUUGUUACUGAAUGAUCUUUCAUUUUGAGUCUUUCAUGUACAACUACAAAAAAAGGAAUAAAGUUUCUGAGUGUUGCCAGAUGAUAAUGAAAUAAUGAACUGUACAAUUCUACUGAUCAUGAGAUGACUCCAAACUCUAGUGAUUAGUUUAAUUUAACCACCUGGCUACAUCUUCAAGCAUAGCAAAAAAAAACCCAACCAACCAAUCACAAAAAUCCACCAGGGGCACAUGUAUGAGAAUAGUACAUGUAACAAAAAUGCUUCAGUUUUUGUUGCUCAUUGUUCAAAGUUCAAAGCACAUGAAAGGGCCCAGCAAAGAGCCACAGUGUUCACAUUUUAUUCACCUCUUAAAUUAGGGGGAAGGAUGUACCAAGGAAGUGAAGAAAUUCAGAUAAAUUGAGGGGAUAUAAAGUGAAGCAAUAAAAUUCAAAAUAGUGGUCAUUUGCAUAAACUCAGGUGUAUUACUGUUAGUAGAUCAAACAAUUGAAUGAAAGAGAAAAUAAAACCAUGCAACCAAAGACACACAAAGAAUUAAAACAAAGAGAAUGGAACAAUGGAUUUUUUUUGUGGUACUGGCCACACAGGCUGUAAGUUAUGAACAAGACCAAUAAAAACAAGAUCCAGCAGUUUGGACUCUUUUUUUUCAUUCUUGCAAUGAAGAUGAAAGGAGAGAUACAUCAAUCAGUUUUCCUCUUGAAUUCUGGAAGGUUUUAAGAUACUGCAGAGCAGAGUGAGGUACAAAACUGCAGACAACAGACAGGUGAACAGGAACGUUCAUGAGGAAAAAAGAUCUGCACAUUUGGUCUUCUAUUUCAACCAUUUCUUUUUUUUUUUUUUUUUACUGCUUGUCUUUAUAUUGUUUUUGAUGAGAGGACUUUACCUGCUGUUUCCUUCCGUGCCAUAAUCCGUAUGUCUCCAUCUAAGGUGUGAACUCGACCCUUGGUGCUGGUUCACCCUUUGGUGGAGGCUGUCCUGCCAUCAUCCACAC